rnacentral:rRNA from 1 species
GACGAAGGGGGCUAGCGUUGUUCGGAAUUACUGGGCGUAAAGCGCGUGUAGGCGGUUGCCCAAGUCGGGUGUGAAAGCCUUGAGCUCAACUCAAGAAAUGCACUCGGUACUGGGUGACUAGAGGACCGGAGAGGAUAGUGGAAUUCCCAGUGUAGUGGUGAAAUACGUAGAGAUUGGGAAGAACACCAGUGGCGAAGGCGGCAUCCUGGACCGAGAUUGACGCUGAGGCGCGAAAGCCAGGGGAGCAAACGGG